ACAACUCAUAAUAUAACCAACCAAAUCCACACAGACCAUCCUCUCUUUCUCUGCUGUAAACUCUGCAGAGCCUCAUCAUUGCAACAAUGUCUUGCUCCAAUAUCACCAUGUUGGUCUCAUCCAAACCUUCAUUACCUGAUGCCUCUAACCUCUCUUUCCGUUCUGCUCUCAACCCUUUUCAGCUUCCUUCACAAAACUCAUCAUCUUCUUGCACUCCUUCAAGACCAACUCAAAUUCAGUGUGGUCUAAGAGAACUCAGAAACCGUAUUGAUUCUGUCAAAAACACUCAGAAAAUCACUGAAGCAAUGAAGCUUGUGGCUGCU
rnacentral:lncRNA from 1 species